AAUUGAACGCUGGCGGCAGGCCUACCUCAUGCAAGUCGAACGGUAACGGGAAGAAGCUUGCUUCUUUGCUGACGAGUGGCGGACGGGUGAGUAAUGUCUGGAAAACUGCCUGAUGGAGGGGGAUAACUACUGGAAACGGUAGCUAAUACCGCAUAACGUCCCAAGACCAAAGAGGGGGACCUUCGGGCCUCUUGCCAUCGGAUGUGCCCAGAUGGGAUUAGCUAGUAGGGGGGGUAACGGCUCACCUAGGCAACAAUCCCUAGCUGGUCUGAGAGGAUGACCACCCACACUGGAACUGAGACACGGCCCAAACUCCUACGGGAGGCAGCAGUGGGGAAUAUUGCACAAUGGGCGCAAGCCUGAUGCACCACCGCCGCGUGAGUGAUGAAGGCCUUCGGGUUGUAAAACUCUGUCCUAUGGGAAGAAUAAAAUGACGGUACCAUAGGAGGAAGCCCCGGCUAACUACGUG
rnacentral:rRNA from 1 species